GGACUACUGGGGUUUCUAAUCCUGUUUGCUCCCCACGCUUUCGCGCCUCAGCGUCAGUGCCGGUCCAGAUGGCCGCCUUCGCCACCGGUGUUCUUCCCAAUAUCUACGAAUUUCACCUCUACACUGGGAAUUCCGCCAUCCUCUCCCGGACUCACAGCGCGACAGUAUCAAGCGCAGUCCCCGGGUUGAGCCCGGGCCUUUCACGCCCAACUUAUCGCGCCGCCUACGCGCCCUUUACGCCCAGUAAUUCCGAACAACGCUAGCCCCCUCCGUAUUACCGCGGCUGCUGGCAC
rnacentral:rRNA from 1 species